UACAGAGGGUGCAAGCGUUAAUCGGAAUUACUGGGCGUAAAGCGUGCGUAGACGGUUAUGUAAGUCAGGUGUGAAAGCCCCGGGCUCAACCUGGGAAUUGCAUUUGAGACUGCAUAGCUAGGGUGCGGAAGAGGGAAGCGGAAUUUCCGGUGUAGCGGUGAAAUGCGUAGAUAUCCGAAAGAACACCGGUGGCGAAGGCGGCGACCUGGGCCUGAACUGACGCUGAGGAGCGAAAGCUAGGGGAGCAAACGGG
rnacentral:rRNA from 1 species